CUCCAGAGCUGCACUCGCAACAUAGCUCUGGAUAUGACUGGUGCAUUAGAAAUGAUGUACCAAGAGAACAGCAGCAGCAGCUCUGGGUGUGACUGGAGUAUAGGAAAGGGUGCUGCAGCAGCUUUGGAUGUGACUGGAGUAUAGGACAGAGUG